rnacentral:lncRNA from 1 species
CUGAAGAACAAUACACAUUUGGAUUUGAGAACAAGAAUUUAAUGUUACAAUAUUAUACACUACUUUACAAAAUUUACUAUAAGGAUUACAUUGUAACAUGGAACAAAAACAUAAAAUCACAUUUGAUGGUCCCCUAGAUAAUAGCUGUUAUGCAUCUUUGAUUAUUGUUAAAUGAACAAAAUAAAUUUUAUUCUAAUUAUUGCAGAACAGUCUAUUAGACUCAUUAUAUUAAAUUAAAAAUAGUGAAAAUAUAUGCAAAUUAAGAUUACUGCUUUUGACUGCAUACUAUUAAAUCAAACAUAUAUUAUUUUAAAAAUCCCAGAAACUAGAAAAAUAGAGUGCAUUUGCUGUGGUAGGGAUGUCACUGCUCAGGAAUAGAUAACAAACUUAGUCUUGCUUAUUACCUUUUGCAGUUGUAAAGCUAUAGAAACUGUAAGCAUUUCUAACAGUUUACAGCUGUGCUGAAAAAUAUGGCAUUGUGUAAAUAUCGGUCUGUUUUACAACAUUAAAAUGUAAUAGAUAAGCUAGAAGGUCAUGUGCCCACUAUUGGGAAUAAAAUUAAAAUGGAAAAUUUCAUAAUGCAAAAAAUAAUUACAGGUUGAGCAAAUAAGAACCAUUCCCAUUGUAGGGAUGUUUGAGGUACAAGGAUUUUUCUCCCUAGAAGGAUGUAACUCCCACCCUGGAAGCUUCUUUAACUCCUUAAAGGGUUUCAAAAAUCAAAAUAAUGUGCAAUUCUUAUUUUUAUAGAGAAAUGUCAAUGCAUGAUAAGAUGAAAUGAGUAUUAAGAGGAAAAUAAAAACUCGGUAUAAUUUGAAAGCUACUACACACCAAAUGAAUAAAACCAUAAAUCAUCCAUUGCUAAAAACUUUCACAAAGCUUCCAGUACAAUGGACUUGAAUAGUGAGAACAGAGUCUGACACUGUUUAGGGGUUAGUGUAGGUUUCUUUAGAAAUAAUAUGAAUUUGUUUAAUUUUUCUGAUCCAACUCAAAACAGCAGCUCUAUUCUCAGAUAAAACCUAUUUAUUCCUUGUAUCAAGGCAAUUCAGUUAAACUUAAGUACAACUCAUGCUCAUAUAAAUCUUUACUAUUAAUUUGUUAAUCAAACCUAGGCCAACAUUGUAAACACAUUUAUAUUCCAUUAAAAUAAAAAGUUUCUGCUGGGUAUUAAUAAAAGGAAAUAUCCAUUUACUAGUGAGUUGUUACUCCCAAGGAAAGAUGAAUUUGUGAAAAAUCACU